ACACGACACCGAAGCCGUGGACUCGCAAUGCGAGUGGUAGAGGAGCAUUCUUAAAACCGACGAAGCUGUACCGGAAGGAGCAGUGGAGGGAUAAGAAGAGAGAAUGCCGGAAUGAGUAGCGAGAGAAAGGUGAGAAUCCUUUCGGCCGAAUAUCUAAGGUUUCCAGAGUAAAGCUGAUCUGCUCUGGGUAAGUCGGGGCCUAAGCACAGGUCG
rnacentral:rRNA from 1 species